rnacentral:rRNA from 2 species
UGUACACACCGCCCGUCACACCACGAGAGUUUGUAACACCCGAAGUCGGUGAGGUAACCAUUUGGAGCCAGCCGCCUAAGGUGGGAUAGAUGAUUGGGGUGAAGUCGUAACAAGGUAGCCGUAUCGGAAGGUGCGGCUGGAUCACCUCCUUU